ACCUUAACUAAAUCUUAAGUAAUAUCCUAAUUAAAUCCUAAUUAAAAUCUUAAUGAAUCUUAAUCAAAUCCUAGAUCAAAUCUUAAUGAAAUUCUAAAUCUUAAUGAAAUUUUAAUCAAAUUCUAAAUCCUAAAUCAAUCCUAAUAAAAUCCUAAAUCAACUUAAUUAAAUUCUAAAUCUUAACCAAAUCUUAACCAAAUCCUA
rnacentral:lncRNA from 1 species